rnacentral:tRNA from 3 species
GCGCCCGUAGCUCAGUUGGCAGAGCAAAUCCCUCUUAAGGAUAAGGUCAUUGGUUCGAAUCCAAUCGGGCGCA